rnacentral:miRNA from 1 species
CCUCAUCGAUCUGAAGGAAAUCCUUCCAAUUGAUGAGGUAUAAAAACCCCAUCGACUGGAAGGAAUUCCUUCCGAUUGAUGAGG